rnacentral:rRNA from 1 species
AGAGUUUGAUCCUGGCUCAGAACGAACGCUGGCGGCGUGCCUAACACAUGCAAGUCAAACGGUUUUGUAGCAAUACAGAGCAGUGGCGCACGGGUGAGUAAUGCAUGGGAACUUUCCAAGUGGAGAGGGAUACCUACGGGAAACUGUAGUUAAUACCUCGUAAGCAGAGCUUCGACAUAGAGGUUCUGGAAACAUGGGGAUCUGUAAAAGGACCUAUGGCCAUUUGAUAGGCUCAUGUCCCAUUAGCUAGUUGGUGAGGUAACGGCCCACCAAGGCGAUGAUGGGUAGCUGGUCUGAGAGGACGACCAGCCACACUGGAACUGAGACACGGUCCAGACUCCUACGGGAGGCAGCAGUGGGGAAUAUUGCGCAAUGGGCGAAAGCCUGACGCAGCAACGCCGCGUGAGUGAAGAAGGCCUUCGGGUUGUAAAGCUCUUUCGGUUGGGAAGAAGGGUAUGAUGGUGAACAAUCAUUAUAUUUGAUGGUACCAAAAGAAGAAGCACCGGCAAACUUCGUGCCAGCAGCCGCGGUAAUACGAAGGGUGCAAGCGUUGUUCGGAAUUAUUGGGCGUAAAGGGUUUGUAGGCGGGAUUAUAAGUCAAGUGUGAAAUCCCCGAGCUUAACUCGGGACGUGCACUUGAAACUAUAGUUCUUGAGUCAUAGAGAGGGUAAUGGAAUUGUUGGUGUAGGAGUGACAUCCGUAGAGAUCAACAGGAACAUCAGAGGCGAAAGCGAUUACCUGGCUAUGUACUGACGCUGAGGAACGAAAGUGUGGGGAGCAAACAGAAUUAGAUACUCUGGUAGUCCACACCAUAAACGAUGAUAACUAGGUGUUGGGGGAGUUGACCCCCUCAGUACCGUAGCUCACGCGAUAAGUUAUCCGCCUGGGGAGUACGGCCGCAAGGCUAAAACUCAAAGGAAUUGACGGGGGCCCGCACAAGAGGUGGAGUAUGUGGUUUAAUUCGAAGCAACGCGAAGAACCUUACCUGGGUUUGACAUCCCAUGAAAAGUGUAGAGAUACAUAAUAGCCGCAAGGCACGUGGAGACAGGUGCUGCAUGGCUGUCGUCAGCUCGUGUCGUGAGAUGUUGGGUUAAGUCCCGCAACGAGCGCAACCCUUUCCCUUAUUUGCCACCAUUAAGUUGGGCACUAUAGGGGUACUGCCGAUGAUAAAUCGGAGGAAGGUGGGGACGAGGUCAAGUCAUCAUGGCCCUUACAUCCAGGGCAACACACGUACUACAAUGGCCAAGACAAAGCGCUGCAAGAUUGUAAAAUCAAGCAAAUCGCAAAAACAUGGUCUCAGUUCGGAUUGUGGUCUGCAACUCGACCACAUGAAGUUGGAAUCUCUAGUAAUCGCAGAUCAGCAGGCUGCGGUGAAUACGUUCCCGGGCCUUGUACACACCGCCCGUCAAAUCACGAAAGUUGUAUUAGCCAGAAGCAGAUGAGUUAACCGUAAGGAGACAGUCUGCCAAGGCUAGUGCGAUGAUUGGGAUUAAGUCGUAACAAGGUA